CCUACGGGAGGCUGCAGUGGGGGAUAUUGCACAAUGGGGGAAACCCUGAUGCAGCGACGCCGCGUGGGCGAAGAAGUAUUUCGGUAUGUAAAGCCCUAUCAGCAGGGAAGAAAAAAUGACGGUACCUGAGUAAGAAGCACCGGCUAAAUACGUGCCAGCAGCCGCGGUAAACGGAGGGUGGCAGCGUUAUCCGGAUUUAAUGGGUGGAAAGGGAGCGCAGGGGGCACGGCAAGCCUGAUGUGAAAGCCCGCGGCCCAACCGCGGGACUGCAUUGGGAACUACCGGGCUGGAGUGCCGGAGAGGUAGGCGGAAGUCCUAGUGUAGCGGUGAAAUGCGUAGAUAUUAGGAGGAACACCAGUGGCGAAGGCGGCCUACUGGACGGUGACUGACGCUGAGGCUCGAAAGCGUGGGGAGCAAACAGGAUUAGAUACCCUGGUAGUC
rnacentral:rRNA from 1 species